AGAGUUUGAUCCUGGCUCAGAUUGAACGCUGGCGGCAUGCCUUACACAUGCAAGUCGAACGGCAGCACGGGUGCUUGCACCUGGUGGCGAGUGGCGAACGGGUGAGUAAUAUAUCGGAACGUACCCUAGAGUGGGGGAUAACGUAGCGAAAGUUACGCUAAUACCGCAUACGAUCUACGGAUGAAAGUGGGGGAUCGCAAGACCUCAUGCUCAUGGAGCGGCCGAUAUCUGAUUAGCUAGUUGGUGGGGUAAAAGCCUACCAAGGCGACGAUCAGUAGCUGGUCUGAGAGGACGACCAGCCACACUGGAACUGAGACACGGUCCAGGCUCCUACGGGAGGCAGCAGUGGGGAAUUUUGGACAAUGGGGGCAACCCUGAUCCAGCAAUGCCGCGUGAGUGAAGAAGGCCUUCGGGUUGUAAAGCUCUUUUGUCAGGGAAGAAACGGGAUUUUCUAAUACAAAGUCCUAAUGACGGUACCUGAAGAAUAAGCACCGGCUAACUACGUGCCAGCAGCCGCGGUAAUACGUAGGGUGCAAGCGUUAAUCGGAAUUACUGGGCGUAAAGCGUGCGCAGGCGGUUGUGCAAGACAGAUGUGAAAUCCCCGGGCUCAACCUGGGAAUUGCAUUUGUGACUGCACGGCUAGAGUGUGUCAGAGGGGGGUAGAAUUCCACGUGUAGCAGUGAAAUGCGUAGAGAUGUGGAGGAAUACCGAUGGCGAAGGCAGCCCCCUGGGAUAACACUGACGCUCAUGCACGAAAGCGUGGGGAGCAAACAGGAUUAGAUACCCUGGUAGUCCACGCCCUAAACGAUGUCUACUAGUUGUUGGGUCUUAAUUGACUUGGUAACGCAGCUAACGCGUGAAGUAGACCGCCUGGGGAGUACGGUCGCAAGAUUAAAACUCAAAGGAAUUGACGGGGACCCGCACAAGCGGUGGAUGAUGUGGAUUAAUUCGAUGCAACGCGAAAAACCUUACCUACCCUUGACAUGUACGGAACUUACCAGAGAUGGUUUGGUGCUCGAAAGAGAACCGUAACACAGGUGCUGCAUGGCUGUCGUCAGCUCGUGUCGUGAGAUGUUGGGUUAAGUCCCGCAACGAGCGCAACCCUUGUCAUUAGUUGCUACGAAAGGGCACUCUAAUGAGACUGCCGGUGACAAACCGGAGGAAGGUGGGGAUGACGUCAAGUCCUCAUGGCCCUUAUGGGUAGGGCUUCACACGUCAUACAAUGGUACAUACAGAGGGCCGCCAACCCGCGAGGGGGAGCUAAUCCCAGAAAGUGUAUCGUAGUCCGGAUUGUAGUCUGCAACUCGACUACAUGAAGUUGGAAUCGCUAGUAAUCGCGGAUCAGCAUGUCGCGGUGAAUACGUUCCCGGGUCUUGUACACACCGCCCGUCACACCAUGGGAGCGGGUUUCACCAGAAGUAGGUAGCCUAACCGCAAGGAGGGCGCUUACCACGGUGGGAUUCGUGACUGGGGUGAAGUCGUAACAAGGUA
rnacentral:rRNA from 1 species